rnacentral:rRNA from 1 species
UGAGUACGAGAGGCUACGGCCUCGAAGCAGUCUAUGUCAUACUUCCAAGAAAAGCUUGCAAUGUCAUGAACACAAUGUCAUAAACAAAUAAUGCCUGUACCAUAACCGACACAGGUGGGUAGGUAGAGUAUACUAAGGGGCGCGAGAUAACUCUCUCUAAGGAACUCGGCAAAAUGACUCCGUAACUUCAGGAGAAGGAGUGCCUUAUUUAUAAGGUUGCAAUAACAAGAUCCAAGCAACUGUUUACCAAAAACACAGGUCUCCGCUAAGUCGUAAGACGAUGUAUGGGGGCUGACGCCUGCCCAGUGCCAGAAGGUUAAAGAAGUUGGUUAGCAUUCGCGAAGCUGAUAACUGAAGCCCUGGUGAACGGCGGCCGUAACGAUAACGGUCCUAAGGUAGCGAAAUUCCUUGUCGGGUAAGUUCCGACCCGCACGAAAGGCGUAAUGAUUUGGAUACUGUCUCGGAGAGAGGCUCGGUGAAAUAGACUUGUCUGUGAAGAUGCGGACUACCUGCACCUGGACAGAAAGACCCUAUGAAGCUUUACUGUAACUUGAAAUUGAAAUUGGACUUUAUUUGCGCAGUAUAGGUGGGAGGCGUUGAUAGUAUUCUCGCGGGAAUAUUGGAGCCAUCAGUGAGAUACCACUCUUGUAAUGUUAGAUUUCUAACUUUGUAUCAUUAUCUGGUCAAAGGACAGUUUCAGGCGGGCAGUUUGACUGGGGCGGUCGCCUCCCAAACGGUAACGGAGGCGUACAAAGGUUUCCUCUGAACGGGUAGAAAUCGUAUCUAGAGUGUAAAGGCAUAAGGAAGCUUGACUGUGAGACCUACAAGUCGAGCAGGGACGAAAGUCGGUCUUAGUGAUCUGACGGUGCUGAGUGGAAAGGCCGUCACUCAACGGAUAAAAGUUACUCUAGGAUAACAGGCUGAUCUCCCCCAAGAGUUCACAUCGACGGGGAGGUUUGGCACCUCGAUGUCGGCUCAUCGCAUCCUGGGGCGGUAGUACGUCCCAAGGGUUGGGCUGUUCGCCCAUGAAAGCGGUACGCGAGCUGGGUUCAGAACGUCGUGAGACAGUUCGGUCCAUAUCCGGUGUAGGCGUUAGAAUAUUGAGAGGAGCCUUCUUUAGUACGAGAGGACCGAGAAGGACAUACCUCUGGUGUACCAGUUAUCGUGCCAACGGUAAACGCUGGGUAGCUAUGUAUGGAGAGGAUAACCGCUGAAAGCAUCUAAGUGGGAAGCCCACCUCAAGAUAAGUAUUCUC